UACGUAGGGGGCAAGCGUUAUCCGGAUUUACUGGGUGUAAAGGGAGCGUAGACGGCAUGGCAAGUCAGAUGUGAAAGCCCGGGGCUCAACCCCGGGACUGCAUUUGAAACUGUCAGGCUGGAGUGCAGGAGAGGUAAGCGGAAUUCCUAGUGUAGCGGUGAAACGCGUAGAUAUUAGGAGGAACACCAGUGGCGAAGGCGGCUUACUGGACGGCAACUGACGCUGAGGCUCGAAAGCGUGGGGAGCAAACAGG
rnacentral:rRNA from 1 species